UACGUAGGGAGCGAGCGUUGUCCGCAGUUACUGGGCGUAAAGCGCGCGUAGGCGGGUUUGCAAGUCGGAGGUGAAAUGCUGGGGCUCAACUCCAUGCAGUGCCUCCGAUACUUCAAGUCUUGAGUGCGGUAGGGAGAAGUGGAAUGGCUGGUGUAGCGGUGAAAUGCGUAGAUAUCAGUCGGAACACCGGUGGCGAAGGCGGCUUCUUGGGCCGUUACUGACGCUGAGGCGCGAAAGCCAGGGGAGCGAACGGG
rnacentral:rRNA from 1 species